GCCUUGUUAGCUUGGUUGGUAGAGCGUCUGCCUUGUAAGCGCUAGGUCACGGGUUCAAUUUCCGCUCAGGACG
rnacentral:tRNA from 1 species